GCCACCUUAGCUCAGCUGGUAGAGCGGUUCCUUCGUAAGGAAAUGGUCCGCGGUUCGAAUCCGCGAGGUGGCUCCA
rnacentral:tRNA from 1 species